UUAAGUUAAUAAGGGCGCACGGUGGAUGCCUUGGCACUAGGAGCCGACGAAGGACGUGACAAACGACGAUAUGCCUUGGGUAGCUGUAAGUAAGCGAUGAUCCAGGGAUUUCCGAAUGGGGGAACCCAACAGGUAAUACCUGUUACCUACAUCUGUUAAGGAUGUGAGGAGGAAGACGCAGUGAACUGAAACAUCUAAGUAGCUGCAGGAAGAGAAAGCAAAAGCGAUUGCCUUAGUAGCGGCGAGCGAAACGGCAGAAGGGCAAACCGAAGAGUUUACUCUUCGGGGUUGUAGGACUGCAAUGUGGACUCAAAGAUUAUAGAAGAAUGAUUUGGGAAGAUCAGCCAAAGAGAGUAAUAGCCUCGUAUUUAAAAUAGUCUUUGUACUUAGCAGUAUCCUGAGUACGGCGGGACACGUGAAAUCCCGUCGGGAUCUGGGAGGACCAUCUCCCAACCCUAAAUACUCCCUAGUGACCGAUAGUGAACCAGUACCGUGAGGGAAAGGUGAAAAGCACCCCGGGAGGGGAGUGAAAUAGAACCUGAAACCGUGUGCCUACAACAAGUUCGAGCCCGUUAAUGGGUGAGAGCGUGCCUUUUGUAGAAUGAACCGGCGAGUUACGUUAUGAUGCGAGGUUAAGUUGAAGAGACGGAGCCGUAGGGAAACCGAGUCUGAAUAGGGCGCCUUAGUAUCAUGACGUAGACCCGAAACCAUGUGACCUACCCAUGAGCAGGUUGAAGGUGCGGUAAGACGCACUGGAGGACCGAACCAGGGCACGUUGAAAAGUGCUUGGAUGACUUGUGGGUAGCGGAGAAAUUCCAAACGAACUUGGAGAUAGCUGGUUCUCUCCGAAAUAGCUUUAGGGCUAGCGUCGACAUUAGAGAUUCUUGGAGGUAGAGCACUGUUUGGGUGAGGGGUCCAUCCCGGAUUACCAAUCUCAGAUAAACUCCGAAUGCCAAUGAAUUAUGGUCGGCAGUCAGACUGCGAGUGCUAAGAUCCGUAGUCGAAAGGGAAACAGCCCAGACCACCAGCUAAGGUCCCAAAAUAAUUGUUAAGUGGAAAAGGAUGUGGGGUUGCACAGACAACUAGGAUGUUAGCUUAGAAGCAGCUAUUCAUUCAAAGAGUGCGUAAUAGCUCACUAGUCGAGUGACCCUGCGCCGAAAAUGUACCGGGGCUAAAACAAUUUACCGAAGCUGUGGAUACCUUUAUAGGUAUGGUAGGAGAGCGUUCUAUGUGUGAUGAAGGUAUACCGUGAGGAGUGCUGGAACGCAUAGAAGUGAGAAUGCCGGUAUGAGUAGCGAAAGACAGGUGAGAAUCCUGUCCACCGUAAGACUAAGGUUUCCAGGGGAAGGCUCGUCCGCCCUGGGUUAGUCGGGACCUAAGGAGAGACCGAAAGGUGUAUCCGAUGGACAACAGGUUGAUAUUCCUGUACUAGAGUAUGUAGUGAUGGAGGGACGCAGUAGGCUAACUAAAGCAGACGAUUGGAAGAGUCUGUCUAAGCAGUGAGGUGUGAAUUGAGUCAAAUGCUUAAUUCUAUAACAUUGAGCUGUGAUGGGGAGCGAAGUUUAGUAGCGAAGUUAGUGACGUCACACUGCCAAGAAAAGCUUCUAGCGUUUAAACAUACUCUACCCGUACCGCAAACCGACACAGGUAGUCGAGGCGAGUAGCCUCAGGUGAGCGAGAGAACUCUCGUUAAGGAACUCGGCAAAAUGACCCCGUAACUUCGGGAGAAGGGGUGCUGACUUAAAGUCAGCCGCAGUGAAUAGGCCCAAGCAACUGUUUAUCAAAAACACAGCUCUCUGCUAAAUCGUAAGAUGAUGUAUAGGGGGUGACGCCUGCCCGGUGCUGGAAGGUUAAGAGGAGUGCUUAGCGUAAGCGAAGGUAUGAAUUGAAGCCCCAGUAAACGGCGGCCGUAACUAUAACGGUCCUAAGGUAGCGAAAUUCCUUGUCGGGUAAGUUCCGACCCGCACGAAAGGCGUAAUGAUUUGGGCACUGUCUCAACGAGAGACUCGGUGAAAUUUUAGUACCUGUGAAGAUGCAGGUUACCCGCGACAGGACGGAAAGACCCCAUGGAGCUUUACUGCAGUUUGAUAUUGAGUGUCUGUACCACAUGUACAGGAUAGGUAGGAGUCUAAGAGAUCGGGACGCCAGUUUCGAAGGAGACGCUGUUGGGAUACUACCCUUGUGUUAUGGCCACUCUAACCCAGAUAGGCGAUCCCUAUCGGAGACAGUGUCUGACGGGCAGUUUGACUGGGGCGGUCGCCUCCUAAAAGGUAACGGAGGCGCCCAAAGGUUCCCUCAGAAUGGUUGGAAAUCAUUCGCAGAGUGUAAAGGUAUAAGGGAGCUUGACUGCGAGAGCUACAACUCGAGCAGGGACGAAAGUCGGGCUUAGUGAUCCGGUGGUUCCGUAUGGAAGGGCCAUCGCUCAACGGAUAAAAGCUACCCUGGGGAUAACAGGCUUAUCUCCCCCAAGAGUUCACAUCGACGGGGAGGUUUGGCACCUCGAUGUCGGCUCGUCGCAUCCCGGGGCUGUAGUCGGUCCCAAGGGUUGGGCUGUUCGCCCAUUAAAGCGGCACGCGAGCUGGGUUCAGAACGUCGUGAGACAGUUCGGUCCCUAUCCGUCGCGGGCGUAGGAAAUUUGAGAGGAUCUGCUCCUAGUACGAGAGGACCAGAGUGGACUUACCGCUGGUGUACCAGUUGUCUUGCCAAAGGCAUCGCUGGGUAGCUAUGUAGGGAAGGGAUAAACGCUGAAAGCAUCUAAGUGUGAAACCCACCUCAAGAUGAGAUUUCCCAUGAUUAUAUAUCAGUAAGAGCCCUGAGAGAUGAUCAGGUAGAUAGGUUAGAAGUGGAAGUGUGGCGACACAUGUAGCGGACUAAUACUAAUAGCUCGAGGACUUAUCCAA
rnacentral:rRNA from 1 species